GAUGAACGCUAGCUACAGGCUUAACACAUGCAAGUCGAGGGGAAACGACAUCGAAAGCUUGCUUUUGAUGGGCGUCGACCGGCGCACGGGUGAGUAACGCGUAUCCAACCUGCCCACCACUUGGGGAUAACCUUGCGAAAGUAAGACUAAUACCCAAUGAUAUCCCACGAAGACAUCUGAAUGGGAUUAAAGAUUUAUCGGUGAUGGAUGGGGAUGCGUCUGAUUAGCUUGUUGGCGGGGUAACGGCCCACCAAGGCAACGAUCAGUAGGGGUUCUGAGAGGAAGGGCCCCCACAUUGGAACUGAGACACGGUCCAAACUCCUACGGGAGGCAGCAGUGAGGAAUAUUGGUCAAUGGGCGAGAGCCUGAACCAGCCAAGUAGCGUGCAGGAAGACGGCCCUAUGGGUUGUAAACUGCUUUUAUAAGGGAAUAAAGUGGGUCACGUGUGACUUUUUGCAUGUACCUUAUGAAUAAGGACCGGCUAAUUCCGUG
rnacentral:rRNA from 1 species